UUAUAUUUGGUUAGUCGAAUAAGAAAGAAAAGUUGGCAAAUAUGAAGUUUCUAAUUGAAAUAAUUACUUGUUAUGGUGGUACGAUGACUCUUGAUUUUUAGUACUAUGGUAGUAAGCUUUAAUCAGUAAAUUUAACGUGAUAAAAGGCUGAGUUUUCUGCAGCUGAGGAAUCAUUUGAUCAUCACCAACGGUGUCAAUAGAAUCAAAAUGUCGUGUAGGAUCAAGGUCUGACUGUUGGAAAAGCAAAUUAUUUUCAUUCAAAUAAUGUAAAUUUCAUAUUAUAUAUAGAAAUUUGGAAGCCUAAUCAUUUGUUAGUCGGCUGCUUUUUUUAAUGGAUAUCAGCAUAUUGC